CGACUGGCCAUUAGCUCUUGUUUCCGACAGCAUUCUCUUUCCACUCUCCCUCCUCCUUUGCUCCUCUGGCAGGUACGGUGGCUAGUCCAGCAGAAACACAGCCUCACACCCCGCCCCCCCGUCCCCCACCCUCUGCCUGCAGGUACACUGUCCCCUGAAAGAACCCAACACAUACAAUUCUGAAAAGGGUGAUGCGCUGCUCAGAAGGUCAGAUGCCAUGUCUGCCUCGACCUCAAGGUCAGAAGGUUUCCACAGCCCUGGGGCCAGAACAUGUGAUCUCCUCUCCCCAUCUCUCCCUGGUUCCUUUGGGAGGGUGGAAAAUUGCCCUAAAACAGAAUCUUUUCUUUUGUAAAUCAUGUUGGAAGGAAGCAACAGUGAACUCUAGCUGUCCUGGAGUUGACCUGGGUCUAUAGCAGGUUGGGAACUUAGUAAAUAAGGCCAUCUGCCCAGAUUUUAAUCUGAUCUCUCUCUGUCCCUGGCCAUCUCCACAUCAGAAUGGUGUGGUUAAGAGAGCUUGCAGCCUGGAAAAUCCUCCGGCCCAGCUAAGCAGGCACUGGGUUGGGGGGUGGGGGGGGGUGGAAAUGAGGAAAGGAAUGCUGACUCUCUCUUGUCCUCACACUCACCGCCCCCCCAGUCCUGGGCCCUUCUCAGAAGCAGCAAAUUAAACAAGAAGCCAGACAGCAAGGCCCUGGGGAAAAAAAGCCAAGAUCCAGAAAGAGCUGAUGGCAGCCCUGGAAGGUCUCUUUGUGGAGAGUGACUUAACUCUAAUUUUCUCUGGAACUUGAAGUCUUGGAUACUGGAGGAGAAAUCUAACUUUGUCCAGAGUCUUAGACCACGUGUUUGUGUAAGCAGUCCCCACAGUGCGCUUCUAAGCUAAGAAUACCCCUGCAGCAGGCUGGGGUUUGCCUUCAGAGAGGGUAGCUAUGGUACAUUGGGGGUUGGCAUCUCAUCCGAGCUGUUAAGUGAGUUUCCCAGCCUCACUGUGGCUGGGCCUCCCCUGGAAUUCAGUAGGGGAUCAGGAGAGCACUGCAAGGUUUGCUGAGAUGAGCCCAGACUUGCUGUGUAGACUAGACUUAAAGGGUCACACACAAGUCACAGGGGUGAGCCACCCCCUCCUUUCACAACUCCUGUCCUUACAGAGCCAGGUCUCUAGGUCUCUACAAUAAACCCUGAAGAGGUGACUGCCAGGCGAGGGCACAUCACCACCUCUGUCAGACACUGGUGCAGAGCCUAGCCUCGCUUCCUCUGGCAUGCUGUAUUUCCUUUCCUGCCUGCAGCUGCCCCCUCCCAGGCCCUACAAAGCCAGUGUGGCCGCCCUCUUGGUAGCUCUGCCAGUGAGAAGGCAGUUGUGUGUCCAAUGGCCCGCUCCCGCCUACCCCACGCCACUGCAUCCUGACCAGCGAAACGUGCUCGAAUGUGGUGGAGGAUGAGGAAGCAGGUGGGCACCUUGUCUGCCCCAGCCUCCCGGGAGAGACUACGUCUCCAAGGGCCAGGCUCUGACGCUGAGGUUCUGACUGAUCCCGGACGUGGGACAAAGUCUGCUGAGAGCUGGAGUGAGGGGUCAGGAGGGGAGAAUGGGGGAGAAGCACUUGAUGUAGUUGUGUGGAAUAAACGGUAUUUUUUCUUUUGUA